rnacentral:ribozyme from 1 species
CUCAGGUGGACGGACACAUUUCGGUGGAUCGGCGCCACACCCCUUGGCACAUUGGAGGAAGGGCCACACUGCUGAUGGCAAGCAUCAUCUCGGGAGGGGAGACGCCCACAGGUCUCAGCCG